UGAUGGCCUGGCUUUCGCGGCCGGCUGAAGUUUUUUUUCACCCAUGUCUUUUGCGCACUUGUUGUUUCCUGGGCGGGUUCGCCCGCCACCAGGACCAAACCAUAAACCUUUUUUUCUUAUGCAGUUUCCAUCAGCGUCAGUAAAAACAAUGUAAUUAUUACAACUUUCAACAACGGAUCUCUUGGUUCUGGCAUCGAUGAAGAACGCAGCGAAAUGCGAUACGUAGUGUGAAUUGCAGAAUUCAGUGAAUCAUCGAAUCUUUGAACGCACAUUGCGCCCUUUGGUAUUCCAAAGGGCAUGCCUGUUCGAGCGUCAUUUGUACCUUCAAGCUUUGCUUGGUGUUGGGCGUUUUUUUGUCUCCCUCUUUCUGGGAGACUCGCCUUAAAACGAUUGGCAGCCGGCCUACUGGUUUCGGAGCGCAGCACAUUUUUUGCGCUUUGUAUCAGGAGAAAAGGACGGUACUCCAUCAAGACUCUACAUUUUUCACUUUUGACCUCGGAUCAGGUAGGGAUACCCGCUGAACUUAAGCAUAUCAAUAAGCGGAGGAAA
rnacentral:rRNA from 1 species